CAUCAUUUUCUUUUUUUUCUUUUUUUGCUUCAACUAAAAAUAGAGGAAGAGAAAGCCAUGGAAGCUAGCUUAUUCGACCAUCUUCAUGCCUUCAAUUAGGUAAUCCCCAGACUUAGAAGGAUCGGUGUAGCGGAGCCUCUCGUUGACCACAUGUUCGAACUGAUUAUUUUGGGUUUUAUAUUAUGUAAUGCGGACUUUACGGACUGUUUUGUUUUAAUUCGGUUUAGACUGUGAUUUUAUGAUUACAUAAUUGAAAAACUCAGAUUUUAUCAAAAA